CAGAAAAGGGUAGAGAAUCUUCUUACUCUUAUUCAUCUCUCAGACUUCUUUUGAAAAUGAAGGGUCAAAUCUGUAAAGAAGUUUGGAGCAGCCAUGUUGAAAGGUUCUAAGGACCAAACAUUAACUACACAAGGCCUUUUAAUGAUACCCAGGAGAACAAAGGAGAUUUCCCAAAGUUUCAUCCACAGCAGGAGAUGGGAGAGUUGUAAGAAAACAUUGAAAAGGUGCUGAAAUGCCAAACACAGCCAUAUGGUCCUCAAGAUGUACUGCAAAGGGAAGCCACAGAUGGAAACAUUCCCUUGCAUCAGCAUGAAUGAAUUCAAAUGUAUCAGAAACUUGAAACAUAGUCCAGAAAACUGCAUCAACCAUCCUAAAAGGAACUGCAACGACCUGGGAGACCAGGGUUCAAAUCCCCACACAGCCAUGAAGCUCACUGGGUGACCUUGGGCCAGUCACUGCCUCUCAGCCUCAGAGGAAGGCAAUGAUAUCCCAUAUGAGUGUUUCCAGCUUCACGAGAACCACAGUGAUCUGAAUGGAAACGGAAACGGUCCCGAUCCUGUAUCUGAAGUAGAUGCCAAAAUGAAGGGCCAUCAGUCCACUUCAAAAGAGACUUUGUUUUUCUUUUUCCCCUCCGCCAGUUUUUUUUUCUGUGUUCUCUAAUAGUGCUAUUUCCCAAUGUUUCCAGUGCCAUUUUUGCAAUGUUAAGCCGUCCAAUGUCUUCCACUGCCUGGCAAUCACCUGUUUGGCUGCUGUCAGCAUGAAUCCUAUCAAACUUUUGUAUUGCAAAUCUGAGUUUUAUC